rnacentral:rRNA from 1 species
UACGGGGGGGGCAAGCGUUGUUCGGAAUUACUGGGCGUAAAGGGCGCGUAGGCGGCUCGCUAAGUCGGAUGUGAAAACUCUGGGCUCAACCCAGAGCCUGCAUUCGAAACUGACGAGCUCGAGUACUGGAGGGGAAAGCGGAAUUCCUGGUGUAGCGGUGGAAUGCGCAGAUAUCAGGAGGAACACCAAUAGCGAAGGCAGCUCGCUGGGACGGUACUGACGCUAAGGCGCGAAAGCGUGGGGAGCGAACAGG